rnacentral:rRNA from 1 species
UACAGAGGUCCCGAGCGUUGUUCGGAUUCAUUGGGCGUAAAGGGUGCGUAGGCGGUCUGCUAAGUUUGAUGUGAAAUCCCGGGGCUCAACCCUGGAAUGGCAUUGAAUACUGGCGGACUAGAGUACCGGAGAGGAAACUGGAAUUCCACGUGUAGCGGUGAAAUGCGUAGAGAUGUGGAGGAACACCAGUGGCGAAGGCGACUUUCUGGCCUAUAACUGACGCUGAGGCGCGAAAGCGUGGGGAGCAAACAGG